GACGAACGCUGGCGGCGGGCGUUAACACAUGCAAGUCGAGGGGUAACAGAAGGAGCUUGCUCUUUGCUGACGACCGGCGCACGGGUGCGUAACGCGUAUACAAUCUACCUUAUACAGGAGGAUAGCCCUAAGAAAUUGGGAUUAAUACUCCAUAGUAUUUAUUUACCGCAUGGUAAAUAAAUUAAAACUCAGGUGGUAUAAGAUGAGUAUGCGUCCUAUUAGCUAGAUGGUAAGGUAACGGCUUACCAUGGCAACGAUAGGUAGGGGCCUGAGAGGGUUAUCCCCCACACUGGUACUGAGACACGGACCAGACUCCUACGGGAGGCAGCAGUGAGGAAUAUUGGUCAAUGGAGGCAACUCUGAACCAGCCAUGCCGCGUGAAGGAAGAAUGUCCUACGGAUUGUAAACUUCUUUUAUUUGGGAAGAACUCCCUCUACGUGUAGAGGGCUGACGGUACCAAACGAAUAAGGACCGGCUAACUCCGUG
rnacentral:rRNA from 1 species